rnacentral:rRNA from 1 species
GACGAACGCUGGCGGCGUGCUUAACACAUGCGAGUCGAACGGAAAGGCCCUGCUUUUGUGGGGUGCUCGAGUGGCGAACGGGUGAGUAACACGUGAGUAACCUGCCCUUGACUUUGGGAUAACUUCAGGAAACUGGGGCUAAUACCGGAUAGGAGCUCCUGCUGCAUGGUGGGGGUUGGAAAGUUUCGGCGGUUGGGGAUGGACUCGCGGCUUAUCAGCUUGUUGGUGGGGUAGUGGCUUACCAAGGCUUUGACGGGUAGCCGGCCUGAGAGGGUGACCGGCCACAUGGGGACUGAGAUACGGCCCAGACGCCUACGGGAGGCAGCAGUGGGGAAUAUUGCACAAUGGGCGGAAGCCUGAUGCAGCAACGCCGCGUGCGGGAUGACGGCCUUCGGGUUGUAAACCGCUUUCGCCUGUGACGAAGCGUGAGUGACGGUAAUGGGUAAAGAAGCACCGGCUAACUACGUG